rnacentral:rRNA from 1 species
AGCGAACGCUGGCGGCAGGCCUAACACAUGCAAGUCGAACGAACCUUUCGGGGUUAGUGGCGGACGGGUGAGUAACACGUGGGAACGUGCCUUUAGGUUCGGAAUAACUCAGUGAAACUUGGGCUAAUACCGAAUGUGCCCUUCGGGUGAAAGAUUAAUCGCCUUUAGAGCGGCCCGCGUCUGAUUAGCUAGUUGGUUGAGGUAAUGGCUCACCAAGGCGACGAUCAGUAGCUGGUCUGAGAGGAUGAUCAGCCACAUUGGGACUGAGACACGGCCCAAACUCCUACGGGAGGCAGCAGUGGGGAAUCUUGCGCAAUGGGCGAAAGCCUGACGCAGCCAUGCCGCGUGAAUGAUGAAGGUCUUAGGAUUGUAAAAUUCUUUCACUGGGGACGAUAAUGACGGUACCCGGAGAAGAAGCCCCGGCUAACUUCGUG